rnacentral:rRNA from 1 species
UACGUAGGGUGCAAGCGUUGUCCGGAAUUAUUGGGCGUAAAGAGCUCGUAGGCGGUCUGUCGCGUCGGCUGUGAAAUCCCGGAGCUCAACUCCGGGUCUGCAGUCGAUACGGGCAAACUGGAGUACUGCAGGGGAGACUGGAAUUCCUGGUGUAGCGGUGAAAUGCGCAGAUAUCAGGAGGAACACCGGUGGCGAAGGCGGCUCUCUGGGACGGUACUGACGCUGAGACGCGAAAGCGUGGGGAGCGAACAGG